CUUAUAUAUACCUGAUCCACGUGAGCCCAUUCCGAGGAGGAACUGCAGCUACUGGUCGACAGGGCGAGAGGACAGCAUAUCCUACGACGAAAUCCGGAAAUGAAGUGGGAUUUAUAUACAUGCAUCGUCGCGCGGAUAUCGCUGAUGCAUCCUUCCAUCGUGAUGGUGAUGUUGCGGCGAGGACGGCGCGUUGUUCGGAUGCUGGGACGGUGGACUCGCAGCCACAACGCUAGACGUUUCGGAGUCGUAGCCGCUGGAGCCGCGUGUCCACAGCGGCUCGGGACAGUCGUAAAGAUGAUUGGGGACCGCGGGUCGUUGCACCACAAGAUCGAGGAUCGCCGAACUGCGCAUCAUCUCGAUAGCCCGUUCGAAUGGCAGAUCGAUCAAUUCAAGUCUUUCCCGAGCCGCGCUUAUUGUUCGGAACGUUAGAUUCCAAAUAUAAAAGUUUGAAUAUGAAUCUUGUUUUAUUCAAUUAGCCAGGUACGAUGCCCCUGCAAACGCCGCAGCCCAGACGACCCUUCUCGCCGACGAGAAUCCGAAUUCUGACUUCUGCAUUCGGCACGUUGCCUAAACCAGUUUCGUUGUAUUGGAGCUGCU